rnacentral:rRNA from 1 species
CCAGACUGCUAUUGGGAUCCGACUAAGCCAUGCAAGUCUUCCGCGAGGAGGCGAAAGGCUGAGUAACACGUAGGUGACCUGCCUUCAGGAGGGAAAUAACCUCGGGAAACUGAGGAUAAUGUCCCAUAGGCUUAGGAUACUGGAAUGUUCCUAAGUUGAAAGCUCACUUUUUGAAGGCUAAAUAGCUAUCCAAUCGGGUAGUUAGGCAACCUUCAGAAAGUGCCGGCGCCUGAAGAUGGGUCUGCGGCCUAUCAGGUUGUAGUGGGGGUAACGGCCCCACUAGCCUACGACGGGUACGGGCCUUGGGAGAGGGAGCCCGGAGAUGGACUCUGAGACACGAGUCCAGGCCCUACGGGGCGCAGCAGGCGCGAAACCUCCGCAAUGCGCGAAAGCGCGACGGGGGGACUCCAAGUGCCUACGCUCAGCGUAGGCUGUUCCCGAGCCUAAAAAGCUCGGGGAGUAAGGGCUGGGUAAGACGGGUGCCAUCUGUGACGGUAGUCAGAGAUUUGGCUUGCCGUUGCAAGGCAUAAGCCGCCGCGGUAAUACCCGCAGCCCGAGUGGUGGCCGCUAUUAUUGGGCCUAAAGCGUCCGUAGCCGGCCCGGUAAAUGCCUGGGUAAAUCGUCUGGCCCAACCAGACGAAUUCCGGGUAGACUGCCGGGCUAGGGACCGGAGGAGGGAGAGGGUACUCCAGGGGUAGGGGUGAAAUCCUGUAAUCCCUGGAGGACCACCGGUGGCGAAGGCGCUCUCCUAGGACGGGUCCGACGGUGAGGGACGAAAGCCAGGGGAGCAAACCGGAUUAGAUACCCGGGUAGUCCUGGCCGUAAACGAUGUGGACUUGGUAUUGGGAUGGCUACGAGCUGCCCCAGUGCCGUAGGGAAGCCGUUAAGUCCACCGCCUGGGGAGUACGGUCGCAAGGCUGAAACUUAAAGGAAUUGGCGGGGAAGCACAGCAACGGGUGGAGCGUGCGGU